GUGACAGCUUCUGUUGGUGUUGUGGGACCAGAUGUGGUAGAUAUUUUAGCAGGAGUGGUUGUUGUGGCAGCAACUGUUGUUGUUACUCCAGACUCUGUUGUUGUGGGAGUAGAAGAAAUUGUUGUGACAUCAAGUGAUGUUGUUGUUGCAACAGAUGUUGUUGUGGGAUUUUCUGAAAUUUUUGUGACAGAAGCUGAUGUGGUUAUGGGACCAGAUGUGGUAGUCAUAUCAGCAGGUGUGGUUGCUGUUUCUGUAAAAACUGUUGUUCCCAACGUUGUUGUUGUUGGUAGAGCUGUUGUGGUCAUUGAGUGAACAGAUGUGGUUUCUGCUGGUGAACCUGUUGUUGUUGUAGCCCCUGUGUUGAUGGGUGUAGUUGACAUUGAUGUGAGAUCAGGUGAUGUUGUUGUUUGAACAGCUGGUGUUGUGGGGGUUAAUGAAAUUGUUGUGACAGC
ensembl:lncRNA